GUUUUAGUUAGGGUUGGAGCUGAACUCUGCAGGGCUGCGGCUCUCCAGGACCAGAGUUCGCCACCCCUGUUAUAGACAGUUGUACUCCCACUUAGUUUUGACAUAUGUUUAUAUAUAUAUCUGCAUUCCUAAAUAUAAACUGCAAUGUGUCCAACAGGGGAAUGUAAAUUCCCGUAUUCCAAGAUGGCGCCGAGCAUGGCGGCCGUGUUGCGAGCUCCGAGUAAACUUUGCAGUUUUUUGUUUGUUUUACUUGUUUUUUUGUUGUUCUACGUGUUGGAUGUUGUUUGUAUAACUGUCUACGACAGACACACGCUUCUAAACAUUGGUUCCUACGUCGCGGAACGCAAACCGGACUUUGAGUUCUUGAACGCCGGCGCUUUGUUUACAGACACCGCAUCAGAGCCCUUUGUCUGGGCUGCGCGGGUGCGACCGAGGAAACGCCGCCGGAAAAGAGGGAAGAGAGCCGGCGUCCUUGUCAGACUCAGACGUCGUCCCCUCCGACCUCCUCUCCCAUCCAUUUUGCUGGCUAACGUUCAGUCACUGGACAAUAAACUUUGCGAACUGCGGGCACGUAUCUCAUACCAACGAGAAACAAGGGACUGCUGCAUUAUUUGCCUCACAGAAACCUGGAUGUCUGCAGUGGUUCCAGACUCAGCCAUCGAGCUUACGGGGUUCUCCGUGCACCGCUCGGACAGAACGAAAGAGCUCACAGGGAAAAGCAGAGGUGGGGGCGUUUGUUUCUUUAUCAACAACUCGUGGUGUGAUGAAAGGAACCUACACUCUAUUAAAUCCUUCUGCUCCCCUGAUCUGGAAUUUCAUAUGCUUCUGUGUCGACCAUUCUGGCUACCGAGGGAAUUCACAGCGGUCAUAAUCACCGCUGUUUACAUUCCCCCUCAAGCCAACACAGACCAGGCACUCAAGGAACUGUAUGGGAAUAUAAGUGAGCAGGAAACCGCGUACCCAGAUGCAGCGUUUAUUGUUAUGGGGGACUUUACAACAUCUGACUAGACACAAACAUACACACAUUCAACAUAGAUGCCAACGCAAGGAAGGCAUGGAUAGAGAGAGAGAGCAUGUGAGAGAGAAAGAGAGAGCGCAAUGUAGAGAGAGAGCGCAAAAGAGUAAUAGCAGUAUUUACUCAUCAACUAAUCACAACCUGUUAAAGGGAUACUCUACCCCAAAAUGAAAAUUGUGUUUAUCACUUACCCCCAUUUCGUUCCAAACCAGUAAAAGCUUUGCUA
ensembl:lncRNA